CAGUAGCCGCGGGAACACGUAGGUGGCAAGCGUUGUCCGGAAUUAUUGGGCGUAAAGGGCUCGCAGGCGGUUUCUUAAGUCUGAUGUGAAAGCCCCCGGCUCAACCGGGGAGGGUCAUUGGAAACUGGGAAACUUGAGUGCAGAAGAGGAGAGUGGAAUUCCACGUGUAGCGGUGAAAUGCGUAGAGAUGUGGAGGAACACCAGUGGCGAAGGCGACUCUCUGGUCUGUAACUGACGCUGAGGAGCGAAAGCGUGGGGAGCGAACAGGAUUAGAUACCCCCGUAGUCCCUGUCUCUUAUAA
rnacentral:rRNA from 1 species